UGUUAGGGUUCGCUUUGUUAGAUGGAAUAGACGAUAGAGAAUAUGAAGUAGCAGGCAGCGAAAGUCAUGUGGAGUACCGCAAUCUGGAGGAGAUUCAUCCUUCCCGAGAGAGGGUUGUGCUUUCGUCGGGAUUUCAGCUCCACGAUAUACGUCAGCAGACUAUCAUAUUACACAAGCGAUGAGGAUUUCGAAAACAUGUUCUCGCGGUUUGGCCGUGUGGAGGAAGCUAGGCUUAUCAGGGACGCAAGAACUAAUAGGCCUAAAGGCUUUGGCUUUGUGACUUAUGCAUCUGAUGCUGAAGCAGAGAAGGCAAUAAAAUCUAUGGAUGGAAGGGAUGAGGAACUUUUGAGGUCAAGCAUAUGCCUCUACCAUUAAGAUGCAAUUGAGGUUGACUACUACUUUGUCCUCCUAGAACUGUGAGACCCUGGAUAUCAGGUUGCUGUUCUUCUUCUCAAAUCUGUAAAUGGUACAUCCUUUACGUUGGAAGAAGACACAGAAUUUGGCAGGAACUAGGCAGGUAAGAGGCAAAGAGUGAGCCGUGUUGCCAUGGUAGAGGGCGAGCUUUGACACUAUGGCGUGGUUGCUCUAUUGCACUUUGGUUUUAAGGGUUUGAACUGUGAAAUCAUCUACUCACUUAUAUAUGGUGGGAGGCUGAUAUUUGUGGAAUAUGCCAAGUCUGGGUCACAGGAGGACAAAACAUAAUUUUCUCCAGUGGUUUCCAGUUGCUUACAGAGGAUGUUCAUACAAAGAUGGAGAUCAGAUCCCAUCAAUGGUAAGUUCAUUCCUGUUAGUAGUCACAAACAUGAGAACUGUAUGGUUCCAUUUAAAGGUGUAAUUGAAUAGGUACUGCAUAUAAAUAAAUAACUUGUUAAUCUGAGCAUAGCCUUUGGAAAAAUUCUGUUGAUGUCCAUCCUUGGAGUCUUUGUUUUUGAGUUUUGUGGCAAAUAUCAACUCCACAGUGCUUUAGAAAUGCAAUGACCAUUUAAACCUCAAGGCAUAUGUACAAAGUCUCUUCUAUGCCACAGGUCACUUGGACCUGACAUCAAAAGGAUAAGGCUGUCUCUCUUUUCUUACCAUUUUCUAGUUGUACUUUCUCCAGUGAGGUUGAGUUCAAUAAAUCAUUCCCUUGGGAUACAGACAUCACCCUGCCACUUAUCCAUAUUGCCUAAAUUAAUUUUUAGUUCAUGUGCAAUCUCCAUCUUAAACUUUGGAUCUACAGUCUCAGAGUAGAUGGCUAGAUUUGACUUUAUAUUAGCAUUAGCCCAGCUUUCAAAUGUGGUUCAACCAUGUGCAGUCUUGUUUUGGAUUGGACCAAGUACAUAACCCAUGGAUAUCUCCUUUCAUGUUCAGGGCAUUCAGGUAAUUUCAGACCACAUUAGAUCCCAUAUUCUCUCAUAAAUUAUUUCCAUUCAUAUGCAGGGCAUUCUUGUAAAUUCAGAACAUGUCAGAUCCCCAUGUUCUUCUAUAUGUUCGAGCCCCUCUGGCCUCUCCCUGUUGCAUCAUUGCCACAAUAAAGCCGCUUUGAUUUCUCUGCUCCCCUGUUCCCUUCCCUUCUCUUCUUCUCCUCUGCCUCAUCGAUCCACUCUCCCUGCGCUCAUCUGUGUCCGGAGAGGAUGUCUUGUAGGCCUAGUCGUCACCAGAGGAGGGCGUCACAGAGUGUCUUUGUUCUGCCAGAGAGCUUCUCCAUCUCUGAAGCUCCUCCAAUGGAGGUUGGCGAGAAGAAGACUGCGGUGGAAUCGUCUCAGCCAUCGUCUGAACCUGCAGCCCCUUCGCCUCCCCCACCAGCGUUGCCUGGCCAGGAGUUCAAGGAAGCUGUUGCCGAGAAGUAUCGAGACUAAAUCAUGCUCUGCAAGCUCUCCUUGCAACCUUAGAAAUUUCCAUCGAAGUCGGUCAAUUUAAUUUCAUCAGCACUAGUUUCAGUGUUCUUAUGGAACCUCUCAUCCUACUGGUUGAUGGGAUGCAGAAUAAAUGAACCAUUUAUUA